GCCCGUCUCCGCUACUUCCGGAACGUAAAACCGGUUUCCGGAAAGCCAGGACGGGUGUCCCCAUGACAACCGACGUUGAGGCUUUGAGGCCUUUGUCUUAGAGCAAGAGAAGCAGCUCUGACUCUGAGGAACUAGACUCUCCUCCCUCGGUGCUGGGGAGAAAGCCCGGAGCUGUUUUCUGGGGAACUGUGGGAUGUGCCGCUGGGGGCCCGAGAGAGCGAAAGGAAGAUGCUGCAGACCAGUAACUACAGCCUGGUGCUCGCCCUGCAGUUCCUGCUGCUGUCCUGUGACCUCUUUGUCAAUUCCUUCUCGGAGCUUCUCCGAAUGGCUCCCGUCAUCCAGCUGGUGCUCUUCAUCAUCCAGGAUAUUGCAGUCCUCUUCAACGUCAUCAUCAUUUUCCUCAUGUUCUUCAACACCUUCGUCUUCCAGGCUGGCCUGGUCAACCUCCUGUUCCAUAAGUUCAAAGGGACCAUCAUCCUGACAGCUAUGUACUUCGCCCUCAGCAUCUCCCUUCAUGUCUGGGUCAUGGAGCUGAGCCUAAGGUUUUCAAGGCAAGACAGUGACCAGGCCGAACUCCUGAGAGAAGGUAUAUCAUUUCUCCUUGGCCAAGGCUAUGGAGUGACAGGGAAUCAAUAGCUUAGUUUGAACUUCCUCCCUCAGGGUUAAAAGGAUAUUCCCUUUGCAGCAAAAGGAUCGUUAGGCACCUUUUAGAAACACAACUUGGGGCUGGGGAAAGAAAGAAAAAUGGUGAGAUUAGCCUGCAUCUGUGCAGCUAACCAAGUGGGAGACGUCAGGGCCUUAUGUGGCCGUUAACACCUCCCUGUCUACUCAUGUCUCCUUCAGAACUUACGCUGGAAAGACUCUAACCGCUUUGUCUGGACAGAUGGACUUCAAGCACUAUUUGUAUUCCAGAGGCUAGGACUCUCUAUGGCUGCGCAAGGAGUUCGUGCAAGUCCGAAGGUGACCGCUUCGUGCCAUACUGAUGGAUGCCUUUCCUUCCUGACAGAAGCCACACCUGCGGCUCUGCAGAGUGGGGGGUGGGCCCCAUGCACAGGAAGCAGCUUGACUUUCCUAGGACAGGCGCAAGCCAGUUGUGUUCAGCAGCCAAGAAGCAGAAUCCUCCCUCUUGCAAAUUCAAGUGUUCCCUACUACAGACCAGUACAUACAUAAUCCCUUCCUGGCUUCCUACCUCUCCUUUCUGUGCCCCCUUCCUCAUGGGCUCUGUGGCAUUAUCCCUGGGGAGCUCCCAGCACCUGCUUUCUUUGCAAUACACAUGGAUGAACGAACGAUACAAAGAGGGAUAGAUAUUUCUGUGCUCCUGACUGAUCACACCGUGGACAUUUAGAUUUUGUACCCAGAGCACUUUUUUUUUUAAACAUUUUUAUAAACAUGAAAUAAACUGAAUUCUUUUCCAUAAA